AGCUGUGGGUAUUUCUCUUGAUGAGAUGCUUUCUGCAGCUGCUGCCAAGAGGAAGGCUGUCCAUCUGCUGAGGACUUGCCGUGGGGUUUCCUGGUGCAGCCCUUCCCAAACUCCAACACAGGCGCUCCUUCCACCAUGUCCCCAGGCUCAGAGACAUCACAGAGCAUCACCUUGCACCCGCAGGCAGCGGCCCUAUCGCACAGAUCAGAGGGACAGGAGGUUUCUCACAGAAUGAAGAUGAUGCAGCCACGUUCACAUGUCCACAUGAAGCAUAUACCAUGGUGGCCAUCACUACCUUCCCCAGAAUAUUAAAGCCAAAUAAUAUUCAAAUGUUCUGACAGUGUCACUCAUGUGAGCCGGAUGCCCAAUGUUCCCUGACCCUUCAAUUUUUCCUCGUGGCUCACUUGAAGAGCAUGGGCUGCUUUGAGAUCAAAGAAAAUGCUGCCACUAUUUCAACCUUGGCUUGAUCCCCAAUCACACCUUUUCAAAGAAAAACCCUAAUCAUCCUACUCUCUAGAAGUGAUGAGAAUGAACAUGACUAGGUGGUGGUUUGUUUGCUCUCAGCCUCUCUUCACCUAUUGACGCAUAGCACAAAAGCCAGAAUGCUCAAAGGAGGACACUGUGUGAGCGCGGCAAUUUUCAGUUCACUUUCAAGCUUGAGUGUGGCAAUGGCCAUACUUACACAGAGGUGAGUGCGUGAGGAAUCCCCGAGUACUUCCUUUAAGAACAGCCUCAAGGGGCUGGCGAGACGGGCUCUGCGGGAGAAGGCACCUGACCGCCACCUGAGUUUGAUCCCUGAGAUCCACAGUGGGAGGAAAGAACCAACUCUCUCAAGUUGUGCGACCUCCACACAUUCCCCGUGACACACACACACACACAAACACGAACAAAUUUGUAAUAAAAAUUUAAGGAAAUAUUCUCAAGAAAGACCUAAUUCAGUAGAAGACAUUCCAAAUGACAUCUGGAUGAUAAUUGUUUCUAAGUUUAUCAUGAAAAAAAGUGUACUUACUUUUUAUUUUGGUGAGAGAAUAAAUGAAGAAAGUAAAAGCAAAGCUGACUGUGUGGGGUUGCAGCGCUUAUGUCGAGCUGACAGUGCUUGACUUCCAGCUGGGGAGAUGAUUCUGCACAUCACGGACUCACUGAGGAAGCUUGUGGGUCAGAGCUGAGGCCCCAAGAGCCCACACAAACACCGGUGGGUGCCGUGGCUCACCUGUAACUCCAGUCUCACAAGGUGGAGGCAGCAUCUCCAGAGCAAGCUCGCAAGCAUAAGAAGCCACAGCUGUGAGCUUGGGCUUUGACUGAGAGAUCCUGCAUCAAAAAACAAGGUGGAAGAGCAAUCCAGGAUGAUUCCUGGAAUCAAUCCCCAGCCGCCCCCCCUCCACACAGGUGCACAUGGGCAGUCAAGGUCACAUAUGUUCAUAUGUAUGCAUAGAUGUAGAUGCCCUCCAUGCUCACAAAGGAAAAACAUCUUAAAGGUUAGCAUUGCUCACGAGGAGCCAGUCUUCAGGCAAGGUGGCAGAAACAGCAUUAAUUCUCAAUGUGUUCAUUCAUUUCAACUUCUGAAAAUGUCUGCCGCCUUUGUUAUAGGCUAAACUUUGUUUUGUCCAUAAAAGAUAUGUUGAAGCAACAGAACAAGAAAAUUUGAACACAGGGAACUUCCCAGAGACUCAUACUCCAACCAUGGACUAUUAAUGGAGAUAACCUAGAACCCUGACAAUGCAGCCACUUCUGAUGAGAACUGAUAGACUAAGAUCAGAAAGAAGGAGAGGAGGACCUCCCCUAUCAGUGGACUUGGGGAGGGGCAUGCAGAAAGUCGAGGGGAGGGUGGGGCCGGGAGGGGAGGAAGGAAGGGCUUA